UGCAAGUCGACGAACUUCCGUUAAUUGAUUAUGACGUACUUGUACUGAUUGAGAUUUUAACACGAAGUGAGUGGCGAACGGGUGAGUAACACGUGGGUAACCUGCCCAGAAGUAGGGGAUAACACCUGGAAACAGAUGCUAAUACCGUAUAACAGAGAAAACCGCAUGGUUUUCUUUUAAAAGAUGGCUCUGCUAUCACUUCUGGAUGGACCCGCGGCGUAUUAGCUAGUUGGUGAGGUAAAGGCUCACCAAGGCAGUGAUACGUAGCCGACCUGAGAGGGUAAUCGGCCACAUUGGGACUGAGACACGGCCCAGACUCCUACGGGAGGCAGCAGUAGGGAAUCUUCCACAAUGGACGCAAGUCUGAUGGAGCAACGCCGCGUGAGUGAAGAAGGGUUUCGGCUCGUAAAGCUCUGUUGUUAAAGAAGAACGUGGGUAAGAGUAACUGUUUACCCAGUGACGGUAUUUAACCAGAAAGCCACGGCUAACUACGUGCCAGCAGCCGCGGUAAUACGUAGGUGGCAAGCGUUAUCCGGAUUUAUUGGGCGUAAAGCGAGCGCAGGCGGUCUUUUAAGUCUAAUGUGAAAGCCUUCGGCUCAACCGAAGAAGUGCAUUGGAAACUGGGAGACUUGAGUGCAGAAGAGGACAGUGGAACUCCAUGUGUAGCGGUGAAAUGCGUAGAUAUAUGGAAGAACACCAGU
rnacentral:rRNA from 1 species